rnacentral:rRNA from 1 species
AUCCUGGCUCAGAUUGAACGCUGGCGGCAGGCUUAACACAUGCAAGUCGAGCGGGCGAGGUUGCUUCGGUAACUGAGCUAGCGGCGGACGGGUGAGUAAUGCUUAGGAAUCUGCCUAUUAGUGGGGGACAACAUUCCGAAAGGAAUGCUAAUACCGCAUACGCCCUACGGGGGAAAGCAGGGGAUCUUCGGACCUUGCGCUAAUAGAUGAGCCUAAGUCAGAUUAGCUAGUUGGUGGGGUAAAGGCCUACCAAGGCGACGAUCUGUAGCGGGUCUGAGAGGAUGAUCCGCCACACUGGGACUGAGACACGGACCAGACUCCUACGGGAGGCAGCAGUGAGGAAUAUUGGACAAUGGGCGCAAGCCUGAUCCAGCCAUGCCGCGUGCAGGAAGACGGUCCUAUGGAUUGUAAACUGCUUUUAUACAGGAAGAAACACACCCUCGUGAGGGUACUUGACGGUACUGUAAGAAUAAGGAUCGGCUAACUCCGUG